UGAGUCAUAAAAAUAAUGAGGGGAAAGGGAUGGAUUACAUCACGGACACCUGAUGUUUCGUUAUUAGAUACCAUUGUUUAUGUUGAAUGUUAACAAAUCAGAUUUAACGCGAAUAUUAUGGAGAACCUUAAGAAGAUAGACAGUUUACAUCGUCAAUGUAUUGAUAUAUGUAUACACCCCUACUAACGUGUUCGGAACAUAUUCUUUAUCGGUGUUAAGUAAAGCGUAAAAUCAAAGACUAUCGAAUGAAAUAUAAUCUCGCUGCUUCGAGACUCCAACGCGAGCUACCUGAGACCCGGUGAAUUUUCUACCGGAUAUGGAUGUGCUUUAAGGAAUUUCAGUGUUAAUAAGCCAUAUGUUUUAAUUGCUGUCCAUCAAAUAGUAUGUACAGUAUCUUUGUGUAAUUAAAUUCAUUUUGAGGAAAUAGCAUGCGUCCAGUGCACAUUCCUUAAUGAAUUCAUCAGUUUACAUUAAGGAUCUACCUUCAAAUCCUGUAAUCUGGGAUGCUCUAAAGUGCAUGUCGCAGACUAAAGUUAUAAAAAUAACUUCCAAGAAUUUUUAAGAAAUUGUUUUAACUUUAAAAUGUAUGUAUAUAUACUGAUAUUGAAUUAAAUUUUAUAAAAUUUCA